GUUGGGUUAAAUGACUCCCGCACCUCUCUGAUUCAGAGGGGUUGGGUUAAAUGACUCCCGCACCUCUCUGAUUCAGAGGGGUUGGGUUAAAUGACUCCCGCACCUCUCUGAUUCAGAGGGGUUGGGUUAAAUGACUCCCGCACCUCUCUGAUUCAGAGGAGUUGGGUUAAAUGACUCCCGCACCUCUCUGAUUCAGAGGGGUUGGGUUAAAUGACUCCCGCACCUCUCUGAUUCAGAGGGGUUGGGUUAAAUGACUCCCGCACCGCUCUGAUUCAGAGGCGUUGGGUUAAAAGCGGAAGACACAUUUCGGUUGAGUGAAUUGUUGGGCAAAUGACUAGUUACCCCCUUUCCUUCCUGUUAGUAGAGGGGGGAAAACCUGAGUAUUACAAUCAAACCUGCUCUUGUCAUAAAUAAAAGUGCACAUUGUUUUGGUUGAAGAAACAAGAGGCCUAAUCCUGGAGUCAUAUUUCUGCAGUUUCUAACGUUCUGUCCAACACCGCUGAGCUACGAGUGCAUGUGGUUAAAACUGUCAGACGCAUGCAAACGCUCUGGGCCCAUAUUAACAAAGCGUGAGUAGGAGUGCUAGUCUAGGAUCCGGUCCCCCCUCUAAUUCAUAAUGGUUUAAAAGGUCUGGUCCCCCCUCCUAAUUCAUAAUGGUUUAAAAGGUCUGGUCCCCCCUCCUAAUUCAUAAUGGUUUAAAAGGUCUGGUCCCCCCUCCUAAUUCAUAAUGGUUUAAAAGGUCUGGUCCCCCCUCUAAUUCAUAAUGGUUUAAAAGGUCUGGUCCCCCCUCUAAUUCAUAAUGGUUUAAAAGGUCUGGUCCCCCCUCUAAUUCAUAAUGGUUUAAAAGGUCUGGUCCCCCCUCUAAUUCAUAAUGGUUUAAAAGGUCUGGUCCCCCCUCUAAUUCAUAAUGGUUUAAAAGGUCUGGUCCCCCCUCCUAAUUCAUAAUGGUUUUAAAGGUCUGGUCCCCCCUCCUAAUUCAUAAUGGUUUAAAAGGCUAAACUGAUCUCAGAUCAGUACUCUGACACUGUGGAUAAGGGCCCUGUGCUCCUUUCAGCUCCUGCGUGUCCAGUUUGUCAUUAGGCCAAUAUUUAAUACCGAUAUACUACCAUGGUGUAGCUAUGACGACUUCACUAUGCAAAGCAAUGAGUUUAUUACUUUUGUUUUUGUUACUGCUGGUCACUCUUCCUCAACUGCUCCCUCCAAAAAAUGUCUUGCUCUCUCCAUCACAGAAGAAUAAGCUUCUCAACAUAUCAAUGUAUGGCUGCUAAACUCAACUGCUCACAUAAUUGAUUUGUGAAACUGGAAACAACCUGUAGAACUUACUCUGGCUGUCAUAACGUGAAGACAUCCUGUACUAGUCUGUGCUCUGUUUGAAAUAGAACCGCUUUAAAACGACUGCAGUGUAAAUGCCUAUAAUACAUUAGGUCUACCUGAACACAUUUUAAACGUUCUGCAAAAGUCUAAUGAAAUAAAUGAAUGGAAAUCUGUUUGUUGCUUUUCACUUUAUUUUUUCAUGAUAAAGUUAGAAUAAAAACAUCUUAUCAGCCUGAUAAGUCUCUUCCACAAAGUGAGACUCGAUCAUAAAUAAUAAACUUGUUUUGUAAUAAGUUAAGGUACUGUAUAUUCAUACAUUUAUGGAUAUUUAAGUCAUUUAUCUCUUAUCAAAGAGCUAAUCUCGGGGUAACCCAGAACUGAAGUCUGCUCGAUUAAAUUCUAGGUCCAUGAGAUGCUAGAACGAGGAGCUCCAUCCUCUCUGCAAGUUAUGGGCUGAAUGACUGCCCUUCCAAAAUUUGAAAAAAAUGCUAACACCUCGGAAGUUGUGAUUUGUCCAAAUAACCAGUGAUGGAAAAAACUAGGCACCAGAACUAUAGCUGCUCGUUAUCUAUCAGUGCUCAGAAUAGAAAGAUCUAUUGCACCAUUUUAUGUUUACAUAUUCUGCCUAUGAGAGAUUAUCAAAGAACAGGUUAUAAUGUGCUACAAAAAUACUGCAUAUAAUAGCUUUUCAAUAUAGCUUUUUCAGUAUAGAGACAGUCAUUAGAUGACAAAUCUAUACUCGCAAGGCCACAAUCAGACCAAAUACACAUAAUAUACAAAGUGUAUAAAACAUUAGGAAUAGCUGCUCUUUCCAUGACAGACUGACUAGGUGAAUGCUGUGAUCCCUUAUUGAUGUCACCUGUUAAAUCCAAAACCCACUUCACGUGGAGGAGACUGGUUAAAGAAGGAUUUUUAAGCCUUGAGACAAUUGAGGGAAGAAGAUAUUUACGCCGGUGUGGCCAUGAGGUGAGUGUGUAAGAUGGUGGACGGGGGGAAAAAUGUGAAAAGUGGAACAUGUUUUCAGUGAAUAUGGAGUGGUGGAUCACAGAACUUUUGGAAGAGCUAUAGAAGAAACUUGAACGUGACAUGAGAGUGAGGAUGAAUUAACCUCAAUGGCAGGUGCCGUGAAGACCGAGUUUGAGCCUUGUCCUGAUGAUUCUGACCCAGUGGGAGUGUGAAUUUUGGAGACUGGAUCCUUGCCUUCUGGCUGAUCCAUAUGUUGUGUCAGGUUGAGUAAUGUUGGGUCGGUAAAAGUGACUAAUUGGCCCGCUUGCAUUUCUGCAAGAGGGCGUGUGCGCUCCGCACCACACCAAUGGGAACAACAACACUGGCUUGGCCUGAAGUUGAAGAUUCCCGGUGUCUGUGACGCCCAACGUUUGGUGCGAUGCGGACCCAGUGGAGAGCGUGGUGAAACAGAAUACCCUGUCUGUACUAUGAGUUUUGAUGCAGAGUCUUUAACAGAUAAAGUCAAGUUAGGAUGUGUCGAGGAGGGAGGGGUGCAACUCAAUAUUUUGAAGGCGUUCCUAAUGUUUUGUACACUGUAUAUUAUAUUAUUACAACCAGGCAUCAGCUAAUUACAGCUUUUCAAAUAAAAUCUCACUUGUUAGGUUUCUAUCCAACUGGCGACAGAUUUUCAUGUGAAAAUUUUACAAUCCGUAUAAAAAAUAAGUGAGUGAUGACGUAGUGCACACAAAACGUACUGAAUAAAAAUCACAAACUAUUGUGUUAGAUAGGAAAUGUGCCUACUCUGGUCUUGGCACCUGUGACCUAGUCCACAUCUCCUAUAUACAUUGUGGGUAGGCUGUGCAGGUUGGCUAUCUACAUGAGAUUAUUAUGGAUCAGAGACAGAGUUUUUGGAUUUGUCAAACGGCAGUCACGCAUCGAUCCCCAUGUCACCAGAUUAAGAUCCUCGAUAUUUAUUGGAAAGCAGCAUCAAGCUUAUCAUCGUGCACUUCAUAACUUAUUUCAUCUGUAGCCUAAUGAACUGUGUGGUUUCCUGAGUUGUAGUGUCACACACUAUAUCAUCGCGUGACUCCAAAUGUACUUUGAUAUGGUUAUUAUAUCAAUAUUUGAUAAAGACAUUUCCACUACUAUUUACCACAUAAUACAUUUUACUGACACAAAAUCCCACCAUGCAGAACCAACAAAUUAUCUGUCAGCAUUUACAAAAUUACACCGAAACCUGUUUCCAUCACAGCUGUCGUGAUAAUUGUAUUUCAUACGAUAUGACUUCACUCAAAUAAAACUGGACGGAAAUGUGGUUACUAUGGUAAUAUUGCUACGUUUCACUUUAACCAUGCUAACAAUUUAAAAUGUCAGCUUAAAAUGGUGACAAAUGUUUCCCUACAAUCAGUGUCGUUAGGCAUAAAAUCAGCAUUUUUUUUAUGUAUUAAUUGCAUGGUGAUUCACAUUUUCGAUCAUUUAAAAACUACUACAUGAUAAAGUACAGUCAACAACAGGCACUUGGCCCUACAAACAUUGAUUAAUUCAAGACCACUUCACAUAAUGGCACUUUACCCUCAAGCCAUGUCCUGUCCACACACACACACACACACACACACAUCACCUGGAAACAAGUUACAUAUGGUGUACCCUGGUCCCAGAUCUGUUUGUGCGGUCUUGCCAACUCCUACGAUCGAUGUUUAGCUUGACAGUGACCAUAGGAGUUGGCAAGACAGCAUAAACAGAUCUGGGAUCAGGCUACAUAUGGAAUGAACAGAGAUAGAAUGUGACAUUGGUUGAACAAGUGAUCCUCAUCCAACUACAAUAUGUUGUACUAAGUGGCAUGGUCUUAUAUAGGCACAGAGAUACUGCUAUGGUUUGGACCAAAGAGUUGAGUUCCAUUUAAAUUGUGGUAAACUAAUCCAUCUGUUCCCAGAGUGGAUUCUAGGCUUUCCCAACAACCGUUUCAUUUUGGGGGAAGAGUUUUUUGGACAGAAAUGCCUGAAUGUGAGGCCAGAUCUUGUUGGUUUCCGUUCCUGAGAAUGUCUCCAACAUCCCUUUGCUCCUGUUGGUAGAAACAGAUAUUAGUACCUCAUGACAGUCAUCAUAAUAAACAUAAGCAGUAGUUUUUAAAUGGGUAGGUACUCCCUGAUUGUCUCCAGUAACAACACAUAUUUCCGCAUUCCAUUGCAAAAUGUUUUGCUACAGUCUGGUCUACUGAAUACAACCUAGUACUCAACUACAUAAUGCUUUCAAGGUUACCAACAUAGAUUCACUUUCUAACAAAGGGAAAGAUGUGAAUGAAUUCACUGUCUGAUCUGUCUGAGCCUGAAUCCUGCGUUACAGUCCCAAGCUAUUUCAGUUCUCAGACCGGCCCCUGUAGUAGGGUUAAUUCAGAGUUCUCUUCCCGUUGUCCAGUUACCAGUGAAAAAGAGCCCCAGAAGCCAUCUUAUAAAUAACUUGGAUGCUUUUAACAUCCUAUGUACACAGGAGCUCUUGACUAAUGUUUUCCUUCUUUAAUUGGCCACAGAAAUAGAUGUGAUAUGAAUCAAUCCUGACAUUCAGUCAUGCACAAUGUCUAAUUGAGAUUAAUGUCCAUUUGUUAUGUCCCAACUUUGAAAGGGCAGAUAUAAGCCUUAAAGCCUAUGAUGUAAGAAGAUAAACUGCAACAUUAUUACACAGUUACAGCUUACAUAAUAAUGAAUAUAAAAGGUAUAUAUGUGUGUGUGUGUGUGUGUGUGUGUGUGUGUGUGUGUGUGU
rnacentral:lncRNA from 1 species